GGCGAACGGGUGAGUAACACGUAGGGAACCUGCCCGCGCACCGGGAAUACGCUCUGGAAACGGAGAACAAAUCCCGAUGUACAGGAAGGAGGCAUCUUCUUUCUGUGAAACAUCCUUUAGGGGAUGGGGCGCGGAUGGACCUGCGGUGCAUUAGUUGGUUGGCGGGGUAAAGGCCCACCAAGACGAUGAUGCAUAGCCGGCCUGAGAGGGCGGACGGCCACAUUGGGACUGAGACACGGCCCAGACUCCUGCGGGAGGCAGCAGUAGGGGAUUUUCGUCAAUGGGCGCAAGCCUGAACGAGCGAUGCCGCGUGAGUGAAGAAGGCCUUCGGGUCGUAAAGCUCUGUUGCGGGGGAAAAAAGGCAGCAUCAGGAAAUGGGUGCUGACUGAUGGUGCCCCGCCAGAAAGUCACGGCUAACUCCGUGCCAGCAGCCGCGGUAAUACGGAGGAUGCGAGCGUUAUCCGGAUUUAUUGGGUUUAAAGGGUGCGUAGGCGGUCCGUUAAGUCAGCGGUAAAAUUGCGGGGCUCAACCCCGUCGAGCCGUUGAAACUGGCAGACUUGAGUUGGCGAGAAGUACGCGGAAUGCGCGGUGUAGCGGUGAAAUGCAUAGAUAUCGCGCAGAACUCCGAUUGCGAAGGCAGCGUACCGGCGCCAGACUGACGCUGAGGCACGAAAGCGUGGGGAUCGAACAGGAUUAGAUACCCUGGUAGUCCACGCAGUAAACGAUGAAUGCUGGUUGUCCGGGUCGAAUGAGAUCUGGGCGGCGAAGCGAAAGCGAUAAGCAUUUCCACCUGGAGAGUAACGCCGGCAACGGUGGAACUCAAAGGAAUUGACGGGGGGCCCGCACAAGCGGAGGAACAUGUUGUUUAAUUCGAUGAUACGCGAGGAACCUUACCCGGGCUCAAACGGGAGUGGAAUGGACCAGAGACGGUUCAGCCUACGGGCCGCUUCCGAGGUGCUGCAUGGUUGUCGUCAGCUCGUGCCGUGAGGUGUCGGCUUAAGUGCCAUAACGAGCGCAACCCCCGCCGUCAGUAGCCAGCAGGUAAAGCUGGGCACUCUGAUGGGACAGCCUGGGAUAACCAGGAGGAAGGCGGGGAUGACGUCAAAUCAUCAUGCCCCUUAUGGCCAGGGCUACACACGUGCUACAAUGGCGCAAACAGAGGGAAGCGACGCAGCGAUGCCAAGCAAAGCCCAAAAACAGCGCCUCAGUUCGGAUUGCAGCCUGCAACUCGGCUGCAUGAAGCCGGAAUCGCUAGUAAUCGCGAAUCAGAAUGUCGCGGUGAAUACGUUCCCGGGUCUUGCACUCACCGCCCGUCAAG
rnacentral:rRNA from 1 species